rnacentral:rRNA from 1 species
UACCAGCACCCCGAGUGGUCGGGACGAUUAUUGGGCCUAAAGCAUCCGUAGCCGGUUCUACAAGUCUUCCGUUAAAUCCACCUGCUUAACAGAUGGGCUGCGGAGGAUACUAUAGAGCUAGGAGGCGGGAGAGGCAAGCGGUACUUAGUGGGUAGGGGUAAAAUCCGUUGAUCCAUUGAAGACCACCAGUGGCGAAGGCGGCUUGCCAGAACGCACUCGACGGUGAGGGAUGAAAGCGGGGGAGCAA